CAGGGCCGGCCGGCAGCCGCUGCUCUUUCACAGCCCCAGACCCUGCGCGGCCUGCCGGCGGCUGGCGACCUCCCUUCCCCUCCCGAGGCGCCCGAGCCUCUGAUCCCCUCCCGGGGCGCCUGUGGCCUCCCUUCCCCUCCCGGGGCGCCCGAGCCUCUGAUCCCCUCCCGGGGCGCCUGUGGCCUCCCUUCCCCUCCUGGGGCGCCUGUGACCUCCCGUCCCCUCCCGCGGCUCCCGCGGCCUCCGACCUCCUGCCGGGGCGCCUCAAGGGCCCCUGCCCCACAUCAGAGGGUCUUGCGGUUUCCUGGUUUGGUUCAACAUCUCUGAAACCCAGAGGUGAAGAAGAAACCAUGGAGGAGAAUCCGAAACAGUCUUCCAGAUCAGACCUCUAAAAUAACUAAAUUCUUGUUAAUCAUUAGAUUCUCCCUUUUAUUUAAUGUGUAAGUCCAAGGGGAUUCCUUCUGCUUCCCCAUUCAAUUAGACAGCAACCUCUUCCUCUAAAGUUCUCUCAUCUGAAGCCAUCUGAGCAGGAGCACUUUGACCAACUCAAUUCUGCUCUGAUCUGGACUACUUCUCCCAGUUUAGGGAUCAGUAAAUUGCCAAACACUUCCCAAUUUAUCCCUGAAGGAAUCCCUGAAAAAUGAUGGCCUUUAUUCUCCCUCAGAGAGGGAGCUUGAGCUCUUGAGAAAGACAUGAAGGCCCUUGCCGCUGUCGGCAUCACUCCUUCCUCCCUAAUCCGGUCAGUUAAUUGCUGAGUGCUCGCUUCCUGAUCUGCGUGAUGGCCUCGGAACCGGGCUGCGUGUAGACCUGGGUGACUAUCAGCUCAGCUCCCAAGUGGAGGGCCUCGGAAGACGCUCUGUGCGGCCUACUAACAAGCACGAGCCUCUGGGGAACAACGAAUGUGUCCAGGGAUGGCAGGCUCCACA
rnacentral:lncRNA from 1 species